UUUGCUCGGAUGGGACUGAGAAUCUAAUCGCGCUCUGUGUGUGUGUGUGUGUGUGUGUGUGUGUUUGUCUGGUAUGGAGAACUGAAAGUUUGACUAUGUAACUUGCAGAGGUAGAUGUGAUGGCAAACAAUUGAAGAUUGGAAAGCUUGUUCCUGCUACAUUGAGGCCUCAAUUGGAGCAGACGUAUGUCUCGGGAGAGUAUUAUAUCAAGUCUUCUGAAGGUAGGCCAAUUGCUUUAGCCCUUUCCUUGACUUUUUGUGAUUUUAUUUUAUCGAAUGACACUUUGAAGGUUGCUAUCAGGAAAUCUGUAAACAAUUCUGGAGUGAAAGAAUAUUGAGAAUUCAUUCAAUUAAAGACACUUAGGCUCCAUUUGGAUACAUAAAUUUGAAAGGAGGCAAUUUGAUGUUCAAUUCUAUGAAAUUGUAAGAAGCUUGAUUAAUGGAUAUAUAUUAUUCGUUCUAAAGUGAAGUAUGCAUAGAGAUUGGAAAUAUGCAUUUUGUUAAUAUUUUUGUACAAGUAGAAUCAUUUAUGGCAGGAUUUCAAAUAACCGUAUUCACUUGUUUCAAAUUCAUUAAUCUAAAACUCUCAAAUCCAUUCUUGAAACUCAUAACUAAAAUAUUACAUUGAAUUAAAUGUUAUACUCCUUGAAUGAGUGACACCAAAUUCAUUCAUUUCAAAUCUUUGUAUCCAAAUGGAGCCUUGUGGUUUUCAACAUGUGAUUGACCUAUCUGACUAGAUCUAUGGGUUCACUUCAGGUGUGGGAUAUUGCUAUUUGGGAUAUAACAAUUCCUUUCUGGAAUUUACCGUCUUUGACAUUGACUUGGCUCUCCUAAUUGGGUUUAAAAUAGCUUAAAUUUCUUUGCAUGACAAGAAUUUCUUAGUGCUGCAAAUUUUGGUUGUGGCUGUGAGGAUUGAUUGUGUUUUCAUAUCAAUACAUUAGUCAUCAAGGGGAUCAGUUAUUUCCUUAUUUUUGUGCUAUCCUUUUCUCAUUGAACAGCAUUGACUUGUUUGCAGAAUUUGUUUGCUUUACUUCUUCUACUGCUUCAGAUAUUAUGUCCCUAUAGCAGGUUGAAGGAUAAGAAUGUUCCGUAGACUUGUAUAAUAGUGUUUUAUGAACUCGUUUGUGAAUGAAAAAAAAUGCAUAUUCAAAUGGUAUUCUGUCAUACUGUGCCAAUGUGGAUUGUGAGAUUUAUGACAAACUCACACAAAACACUGUUUUCUUUCAUGUUGAAUUGAUGACAAGACUUGAUCAAGUCACCAACUAGGUGUGUGUUUGAUGUGCAUGCACCACAUCUGUUCUUACACUUCCAAGUAUUUUGUACUCGGCAAUGUGGAUAUAUUCUAUUGAAAAGAGAGAAGUGCCAACAAAGAUACUCAAUAGCAUGUAUUACACAAGGAAAAUUCAAGAGGUUGAAGCUCAUUUUUUGGUAGAUCAGAAAUCUAAGGCUUUGCCGCACUUUCUACAGUAUGUAAAUGCUCCCUGUUGUGCUUAUAGCCUCAAUCGAAUGCUCUCAGUGAGGCUUUUAGAAACAUGGAAGCCAGAUUCUGUACUGAAGGAGAAACCAUUUUGAUGUCAAGUUUUUUGGACGUGCAAAUUUAAAUAUCACGGUCUUGGAGGCUUCUGGUGAACUUGUAUUUUGGACUCGUGAAAGCAUUCUGAGAAAAAUGGUGCAAUGGUCAUCCCAUUAUAUUGCUCUAUAUGACGUUAGUUUAGACUGGACGCCAUUAGGAUGCCAACCUCUGCCGUUGUAUCUUUAUCUCUUGCUUACUAGUGCAGGAAACCAUGAUGCUCAAACACUUUCUGCAAUGUGCAUGCAGUACAACGGUUGGCAUUGAAAUUGGCCUUUCCACACCUCAUACAAGGAUAAAAAGAAGUGGUGAAGCUGUAUGACGUACACAUAUGAAGUUCUAAAUGGUUGCUUGAGAGGACCAGUACAACACUAUCACAAAACCAUCCUUGUGACAUUGAAGGCUUUUCAUGUAUUUGUUUAGUGAGCUGAUUGAAUUUGCUCCAGAUAUUUUGCUUGCUUGUUAUUUGUUUGGCUUGUAGGAAAAUGUUUUGGCUCUAAAAAAAAAAAAAGUUGACUCCGUCAUGCAUACUAUUACUAGCAAGCAAAAACGGCUUUUGGUACAUAGACUGUGUUUGAUUUAUAGAUUUGAGAAGAGAUUUAAAAAGGUUGGUC